AUUGAACGCUGCGGCAGGCCUAACACAUGCAAGUCGAGCGGUAGAGAGAAGCUUGCUUCUCUUGAGAGCGGCGGACGGGUGAGUAAUGCCUAGGAAUCUGCCUGGUAGUGGGGGAUAACGUUCGGAAACGGACGCUAAUACCGCAUACGUCCUACGGGAGAAAGCAGGGGACCUUCGGGCCUUGCGCUAUCAGAUGAGCCUAGGUCGGAUUAGCUAGUUGGUGGGGUAAUGGCUCACCAAGGCGACGAUCCGUAACUGGUCUGAGAGGAUGAUCAGUCACACUGGAACUGAGACACGGUCCAGACUCCUACGGGAGGCAGCAGUGGGGAAUAUUGGACAAUGGGCGAAAGCCUGAUCCAGCCAUGCCGCGUGUGUGAAGAAGGUCUUCGGAUUGUAAAGCACUUUAAGUUGGGAGGAAGGGUUGUAGAUUAAUACUCUGCAUUUUGACGUUACCGACAGAAU
rnacentral:rRNA from 1 species